GUGGGGAAUCUUGCGCAAUGGGCGAAAGCCUGACGCAGCCAUGCCGCGUGAAUGAUGAAGGUCUUAGGAUUGUAAAAUUCUUUCACCGGGGACGAUAAUGACGGUACCCGGAGAAGAAGCUCCGGCUAACUUCGUGCCAGCAGCCGCGGUAAUACGAAGGGGGCUAGCGUUGCUCGGAAUUACUGGGCGUAAAGGGCGCGUAGGCGGACAGCUUAGUCAGAGGUGAAAGCCCAGGGCUCAACCUUGGAAUUGCCUUUGAUACUGGCUGUGUUUAGUUUGGGAGAGGUGAGUGGAACUCCGAGUGUAGAGGUGAAAUUCGUAGAUAUUCGGAAGAACACCAGUGGCGAAGGCGACUCACUGGCCCAAUACUGACGCUGAGGCGCGAAAGCGUGGGGAGCAAACAGGAUUAGAUACCCGUGUAGUCC
rnacentral:rRNA from 1 species